AAUAUUAUUAAAAUAUAAUAAGUAACAGGUCACAUCCCCGCCUGAUAUUUUGCCGUCUAAAACAGUAACUGUGCGAAUAAAAAAUAUUGUAAAUUUUUACCAUCAAAAACGCAGUCUUGGAGAAUAUUUGAGUAGGACGGUUCGUAUACAAUUGAAAAAUGUGAUAAGCAUUUGUUUGCAGGAAACGGCGACGGAAGAAUGUCUAACG